rnacentral:lncRNA from 1 species
AGACACACAGAAAGAAUAUGAGAAGGCAACCAAGGAAAUACACUAGAGGGCAAAGCUUUUUAAACAGUGGACUAGAGAUAGAGUAUAUGGUGGUAAAAAAAAAAAAUUCUAUCCAUCCAACAUAGACAUUGUUUGCUUUCCCAUCCCAUGAAAACCUUAGAACUGGCAAUAACACAUGCUGGUGCUAAAAGUGAUCUCAUAGGCCACACACUCCAAAUCCAUAUCCACUCCCCAGGUGCCAUUUUGUGAAACCAAUAAUUAAGUAACGAGAGAAUAAAUUCAUAUGUGACACAUUUGUGUAUACCUUUUGUAAACCCUGUGUACUAUAAUAAAGUGUUUGUCAGGUUCUGAAUUCCAUACCAGGAAGACAAAACCAUAAACUCAUAAAAAUGGUGUCACUUGGGACUCCUGAUUUCUGAUGCUAGCAUUCAGUGAUUCCCAUUAAUUCUUGCUUCAGCUAAAAAAAUUUUCUUCUAAGACAAAACAAUGAAUCCAGUCAUCAGGGAAAGAUUUUCAGCUGGUUCACAAGAUUAACAUAUUUCUGUGACACUUCUCCCAUCUGUACUUCUUCAGAGGCAGAACCUCAAACCAUAUCCCUAUUUCUUACGUGCCUCACAAUACUGUGUAUGAAUGGUUGCAUGAAUAAUUGAAUGAAAUGUCAAUUAAGCUGUUAGAAGAUGAAAUUAAAAAAGAAAACAGAAGCUCAGAAAUUUAUGUCUAUUUUCCUCUUAUACAGCAUCCCAUGUAGAGAUGUUGUAGUCACAACUAUCCCAAGGUCUGUCAUGAGGCAAGAUUUGCUUAUCCUGUACAAUUCAUAUGAAUGGAAUCAUACAAUUUGUGAUCUUUCACUCUGCAGUACGUUUUCAAGUUUCAUCAGUAAUGUAGAAUGAAUCAGUACUUCAUUAUUUUUAUAGCAGAAUAAUAUUUCAUUGUGUACACAUACUGUAUUUUGUUU